AUUCUCAGCAGGAGGGUGACCAGGGUUGUGACCAUAAUGUGGUGGCUUCUCUCCCUUAGGUGGUUUGCCAACUGGGGUUGGUGGCUUGUUUUCUGGGAGUGGCUUCUCUCCCUUGGGUGGUUUGCCAACUGGGGUUGGUGGCUUGUGUUCUGGGAGUGGCUUCUCCCCCUUGGGAGGUUUUUCGAAUGGGGUGGGUUUGUGUCCUGGUGGUGGCUUCUCUCCCUUGGGAGGUUUACCAAUUGGGGUCGGUGGCUUGUGUUCUGGGAGGGGCUUCUCUCCCUGGGGAGGUUUAGUGGGUGGCUUGUGUUCUGGAGGUGGCUUCUCCACCGGAGGCUUAUGCUCUGGUGGUGGCUUCUCGAAGGGGGGAUGCUCAGGGUAAUCACCAAGUGAGGGGGUGGUGAGAACCACCAUGCCAAGCAACAACACUAGCAAGUAUGUAGUAGACAUCUUUGGGUUUGGACUCAGACAGUGCAAAACUACGAGAAAUCGCUAGCCCUUUAUAGCGGCUCGGACCUAAUACUGACAUAAUAUAAAAUAAAUAUUAUAUUUUAUCAAGAGAGAACAGAGUGUAAUUUUAUCAUUAAUACCGAUCGAGGCCAAAGAAAGAAGACCCAUAAUCCAUUUCCCACAAGCAUACACAAUGCAGCUGUAAUUUUAUCAUUUACUUUUAUCCCUUGGACCACUGCAUUUUUGUUGAGAGACACAAUAACACAUUUUUAUCUGUCAUUCAACAUUUACAGUAAAGAGAGGGCACAAAACGCAAUUAGAUAAAUUAUGUUUUGCCUGCUAAAAAGAGGCAAAUAACUUUAUUUGCAACAUAAUUAUUUUGGUUUCUAGUGACCCCGGGGCCUUUCGGUUGGUUUGGGAUCGGAAAAUGAACAUCAUAGGGGGGGUUGUGCCCUUAUGGGCAUAUAUAUCUGAUAGCUUCAACUGGCCUUGUUCCUAGAAAGAAAUUGCCAAAGAUAUAAACUUAUUCCAGGCUGAAAGUAGAUGAGAGUCAUAAUGAACAUCAACCUUUGUUCAGUUUGAUUCAAUGCCCCCAUAGUGUUCAUUUCACAGAUCUGAAUGAUUAUAUCCGUUGAAUACAUAAAUUAAUGAAGACAAAUAUGAAACCCAAGAUACAUCUCUGCAUAACAACCCCAACCCUGGUUGCUAUGUUUCCCUUCUUCUAUUCACAUGAGGAUACUGGUUAUAAUUGUCAAACUUGCAACAAGCCCUUUGACACCUAACGUCAAUGGACGAAUUAAAAGUCUCCUUCAAACGUCUAUUUCACAGCAUGAAGCUUAUAAAGGAUGCUGACAACCUUCAGAGUUAGCGACAAAAGAUAAUUAUCAAGGAGAGAUAGUUCCAUGAGAAUUCCAAGGAGUCUGAAUCAAAGACAAAUUGCUCACUCAAGGGUUCUUAUUUUCUUUUAGGUACAAAUCUCUUGAGUGUUGUUAAAGAAACACGUCACUGUCAUUUUGAUUUGCAUUUAACAUUUCACUUUUGUUCUGGAAGGUUUGUUCCGGAAACAUAUCAAAUGAGCAUCAUUUUCUUCUUCGGUGACACAUGGUCGCGAGUACGUGGGUCCAUUUUCAUGCCACUUAGUUGAAAAGUUGGAAAGAAAAAACAUGCCAACAAGAAGAUAGUGAGAGAAGGGGCACUUCAAGCCUUUAACAUGAACAAACAGUAAAUAAAAGAUGUUUCUCCACUCAUAAAAGUGUGUUAGAUAGCAAUAUAACGAAUCACAUCCAAAAUCUUUACUAGGCUCAAACAUAAAGAAGACUCAUUUUUAAGAAAAGAUAAAAAUGGCAUUGUCUGAUAGUAUCCAAUACACGAGAUGGCACUUAAUUUGUACAAGAUCUGUCAAUGCUGACGCACAUUUUCUGAUUAAAAAAAAACUGAUCAGUCAAAAGCAAUGAAGAGAAGUGAUGACAAUGAAUGAUGCUUCCAAUAUUUUCACCCCUUAUAGUGUUCUUCAUGAUUCAGAUAUAUAAUUGGAAAUAGAACAACCCUAUGCCAUACAUUCGUCUAAGUAUGGUGUCUAAUUUUUUGUGUCAGCGGUUGCGAAUGGAGCGUGCAAAAGUCCAAAUUGGCGUCUCUCCAUUUCCACAUAGGAAGGUGACCUUUAUUGACAAAUACCCAAUAUUUGUAGACAUUCCUUAAAUAUCAUAACUUCUUGUUGAUUUGAAAAUCAUUUUUCAACUACCAUGUUUUAAUAAAUAUUUUUUAAAAUGUAUUUUUAUCAAAGUCCACCAUGAUGGAUAAUAUUCACCAUGCAAUAAUUAAUAAAGUACAAACUAAGCGAAAUGAAAAGCAUUUUCUUUGCUUUGAGUUGAUUUUGGUUGCAUUGAGUUGAUUUUGGUUUCAUGGUUUUUUCAACUCUUAUUUUGAUUGGAAGAUGUCAAGAAAAGAAAACAUAAAGAAAAAUUAAAAGGGAAAAAAGAAGAAAAAUAAAAAAAAAUAGAUUUAAAAGUUAAUAAAUUAUUUUUUAUAUUUAUUUUAAUUCAUUUCACUUAUUUUUCUUUUACUAUAUAAAAUUUAAAUAAUUUAAAUUUUAUAAUUAAUUUAAUUACAUUUCAUUUUCUUCUAUAUUUAAAUAUUGGAAAAAUAUUUUACUUAAUAUUUUUUUCUUUAAUUUCUUUGGCAUUUUGGGAACCAAACUUAGCCUUUAAAAUAAAAAACAAAAAAAAAAUGAAAAUAAGGAGGGAAAAGUGAGAAAAGAUAAAAACAAUAUGUAAAGGAUUUGAAAAGUAUUAGUUUGUAAUUACUAUUUGGAUUUCAAUAGUAUUUUAUUUGUCUUUCUAUAUUUCAUGUAAGAGAGAAUUUAAGAUAUUCCCCAAGGCAAAGCAUUAGUUACCUGCAAUCAGUGGUGAUAAGGCUCCAAGCCAAUUUUGGGCCCCAUAUCUUAAGACAGUACAAUUUCCAUUUCAACAUUUCUGAUUUCUCAGAUGUUUCACAUACCACAGAAGAACAUUGUUUGUGAAAAUAUGCAUUUAUGUUGGAUUUUGUAUGCUGUGGGGACUGGGGCAAGGAUCAUAUGGAAGAGUGGUUGACUUUUUCUGUACUUUAACGGUUGAAAUAGGAUAAGCACGGGCAUUUGUGAGGCUUAAUUGAUUUUGAAGCCUGAAAUUGCGUUUCUGUCAUUUUGUCAAAAAAAUGGCAGAUUCCAUACUCAUAUGUUUGGCCUGUGGCCAUGUACAGAUGCCAUUUAGUGACCAGUUUGUAACUGUCAAUCGUUGCGUUUUGACUCUGCCUCAACAACAUCUGCCAUUGACGGGUUUUCAUACUUGCAAAUCAAAUAGUCUUUCGUCCCAUCAGGAAUUUCGGUUUAAAUAUUAUUAAGCAUACGUUUGGCUGACAAUCAUUAUCCAGUUCAUGAUUUGGUUUCUUACCCUUAAUCAAUGGUUUCUAAGUGAAUAUAUGUAGAAGGAAAUCCGAAGUGUAGACAGUAGUAUCGAUAACUCUCAAUAUUCUCUAUAUAAUAGAAUAAACAGCGUCAUAGUGAUCGUCGCCUACAAGCAAGGUACAAAUACCAAAACGAGUGACUCACAUAGACAUCUCCCAACAAGAUGUAGUAGUGACUGACACAUGGACACAAUUAACUCGUAGAAAAGGAUAAGACCAUUGCACAGCAGCUCUUAUUUUACAUACUACUUAUGCUAACCAAAGUCAAUUAGUUGGGAUGGGUGGGAGAUGGAGGUUUGUGCGGUGGCUUGUGGGGCGGAGUUGAUGGCUUCUUUCCAGGAGCUUCUGGCUUUUUCAUCGGAGCUGAAGGAGGCUCAAUCUUAUGAGGCGGCUUGUAUGAGUCUUCUUUACUCUCGACAGGAGGGUGGCCAGGGUUGUGAUCAUAAUGUGGUGGCUUCUCUCCCUUAGGUGGCUUGCCAACUGGGGUUGGUGGCUUGUGUUCAGGAAGUGGUUUCUCUCCCAUGGGAGGUUUAGCAAUUGGGGUUGGUGGCUUGUGUUCUGGGAGUGGCUUCUCUCCCUUGGGAGGUUUAGUAGGUGACUUGUGUUCUGGAGGUGGCUUCUCCACCGGAGGCUUGUGCUCCGGUGGUGGCUUCUUGGUUGGAGGGGGCUUGGGGUAAUCAGCAAGAGAUGGGGUGGUGAGAACCACCAGUCCAAGGAACAACACUAGCAAGUAUGUGGGAGACAUUUUUGAGUUUGGGCUGAUCAGAUGAUGCAAAACUAAAGCAUUACGUGACCUUUUAUAGCAUGUAGCUCCCAAUACCCACUAAGUAUUGUGGGGUCCAUUUGUGCCCUACGGGGUUGAAAACUUAGACAAUUGGGCAAGGACCCACCUGACUAUGGAGGACUAGUGAGGUGUGAUCAUAGCUUUAGGAUUUUUCUUCCUCUGCAGCCGUCGUGCCGUUGGCAUGAUUUUCUUAAUCUUAAAUAAAGGCAUAGUUAUAGAGUUGUUUAAUCUCUAAAUGGGAUUUUAUAUAUAUCUUCAGAUAGCCAUUAAUAUAUUUGAUGAAGAAAGAAAGACAAGUGCAUACAACAUGUAUACGACUAGCUUUCAUGGAGUUCAUUUAUGAUCAGUUUUCCUGUACAUGUAAACCAGGAUCAUAUAUAUGUUUCUGUUCCACAACUAUUUUGGAAUCUUGUUUAUCAGUUUUUAUCAUUAUAAUGUCACAUAGGCUGCCAACUUGGGCGCUAAAAGAACCAGUUGGGCUAGUUCGUUUCAGAAUUUCAAUGUGGAUUCAGGAAUUGUUUUGUAAGAUAUGCGAAAUAGUAGAGGGAUGAAUAGUGUUUCAUUAAUAAAAGUGUCCUGUAAAUUAGAAGGUGUCAUAGAAACUAUAAUCAAUAAAUAACUUUUUUUCCCCACGGGUGGUGUUUCUUGUGGGGAUCAGUGACUGGUUUAGGUUCACCCAAAAUGAGUUCAGACUAAAAUUGGUUUGAGUCAAUGCCGUGUCUCUUUUUUCCAGAAAUCAACUAUUUUAUGCAUUGAAUAAAUCAUACAAAGAAAAUAUGAACGCCCGCAAAACCUAAACCCUGGUUGCUAACUUUCUAUGUUUCAGUUCUAUUCACGCAAGAAUAUUAGUUUAAGUUUGGGAAAAAUGGCAACUUACCUAGUGAUUACUUGGUUUUGGUUUGCGACUAUUUACGCAACCAACCAUGAGUUUGACUUUAACGUCAUGGGUUGAAGCCUCCUACAGGAAGGGAGAAAGCUCCACAGCUAGCUCCAAAAGAGAAUUAUCACAUUGAUAGCUCCAGAGAUUCCCAAGGGGACUGAAUCAAAGACAAGUUCCUCACUUUUUCUUCUUUUGAGGCCAAAUAUGAACCAAGGAUCACACAACCUCAUUCAACUUCAUAAGUUUGAUUUCAUGCAGUUGAACACUGGGUGAAGGCCAUGACAAGAAUUGAUUCAAAAAUUCUAUCACUCUUUUAAGUAAUGGAAGAUUAUUAUCUCUGAUUGGCAUCACAACAGCACAUGCUCCUAGAUCUUUCUAGACACUCCAUGCAAUGAAAGCACAAUGGAUCUUGUAACGAUAGAAACUAAGCCAUGCUACAGUACUAGAUGAUGAGGUAAAACUAGUAGACACGGGUGGCAGCCUAUAUGGGAGGGACACAAGUCUAAUUGAUUUGCAUUUCAGCAUUAUAGAUAGGUAUGUUUUGGAAGAUUUGUUCUGGAAAUACCGCACCAAGUAGGAUUCUUUUUCUCUUUAGUGGGUCCACUUGCAUGCCAAUUAACGAGUUGAAAAGUAUGAGCACCUACCUCGUGCUCGUGGAACCGAAGGUCAGUGAAGUGGGGCUCCUUUUGGCCUCGUGUAAACUUGAUUCAGAAGUGAAGUUAAUAGUCUUCCAUUCAGAUGGAUACAUGGGAAUUUUUCUCUUUUAUUUAUUUAUUUAUUUUUUUUUUGUGUGUGUAUGUCAAAGGAUAAUGAAUGAAGCGCGUUAGCUUGUUUUCUGACUGGAACCGCAGAUGUCCAAAUUGGAGUUCCUUCAUUUCUUACUUAGGAUUGUUACAUGUAUAAACAAGGUAUAAGAAAUAUGCCAACGUGUCUUGAGGAGUUAUUGAUUAGAAAUAACAAGUCACCCGACUGUAGAGUUCCAAGAUUUGAAUCUUCAGACCCUAUAGCAGCCUCUGGGGUACGUGGCAUCCUAUAGCAUAUUAAUGAAGGCUUUUUCGAUUUAGACUUCACAAUACCAAUUAAUAUGUAUGCACAAAAUGGAGAUGACCCCAAAAAAAACAGAAUCGCCAUAGUUUAUGAGGUUAAGGUGAUUCUCCACUUAAUAUCUACAUUAGCUAAUUAUGUAAAUCAAAUGAACUUCUAUUUUUCCUUUUUUUUUUUGGUUUAUGUCAAAUAGUAGCCCAUAAUUAACCCAACCAUUAGCCUGUUUGAAUUGAUUUCACAUGCACAAUGUUGUAGUAGUUCAUAUUUUGAAUUUUAUUUUUACAAAGGUAGUUAAGGAAAAUGAAGUAUAAUAAUUAUAAAAGCAGACUAUAUACACUACAAUAAUUGUUAGAAUGGUAUCUCAAAUUCUAAUUUAAAAUAUUAUUUUUUGUAAAAGAAAUAUUAUAUAGAAUAUUUCCUAAUUUUAUAAAUGAUUAUAAUUAGAUCUUUAUAAAAUAAGGAAAGUUGGUAAGAAUAUCUUUAUAAAUAUUUUAGGUCAUGAGAGAAAGAAAUGGGAUAAAAAUGUGAUGAAGAGGUGAAAUAAGAGAGUUGAUUAGGAUAUAGAUGUGAAGAAGAAAGGGAUUCAAUAUAUAUAUAUCUUUCAAUUACCACAUUAAAACCCUGUGAACCUUUUAUAUGGUUUACUUUAUUUUUAUAUUCCUCCUUUAAUAUAUUUACAUUAAUGCUUCCAUUGGCACAACAAUAACGAAUUACAAAUACAAGCAACAAGUCCCAUGUUUUAUUACCAAAAGCAGGUAAAAUCCACCUAAUAUAUUACAAUAUAUUCAUCCAAUAUUUUAGACCAAUUCUUCACCAUAAAUAUCAUAAUGUGGCUUUUGUUCUUUCUUAAAUUUAAAUUGAAUUGUCUUAUAUCAAUUUGUUUGUGAUUUUUUCAUUAACUUCACUUUCAUUUGGUUAUCUUUGGUUUUUGAAAAGUAUUAAGGAAUUAAUUAACAAAAUAAUGUUAAGAAAAAUAAUUUUCUCUCUUUUGAUUUUGAUUUUGUAGUAGAAAAAUAUAAUUAAAAUUAUUUAAAAAGUAUGUAAUUUUAAAUUAUUUAAUAUUUAGAUAAAAAAAAUAAGUCUAAUGAGUUUAAAAUAACAUAUAAAAAUAAUUUAUUUAUUUUAAAUUUAUUUUUUAUUUUCCAUUAUGUUCUCUUUCUCUUUUACUUUUUCAUAUUUUUUCUUACGAAGAAUCAAACACAACCUCAUAUUAUAUGUCAAGUGUUUGUCUAUAUUUGAGCAAUGUUAGAUACGGCCAUGGAUUCAUCAAACUAAACUGAUUUUAAUAGAUACUUCACAAAUUGAUUUAUACACUAAAUCAUUGGAUAGCAAUGAUGCAUUGGAAUUAAACGUAGGAUGAAGCUCGAAGAACACUGUUUGUGUAACAACAUAUUUAUGAAAUUAUGCAAAGGAUGAGCUUCGGGGUAGUAGUACAAGGUCAUUAAUGGAGAGCCGUGUUAAACCUUGAUUGUGAUUGGAUUCCGUUAUCAGCAACAGCAACCUUGUUUGUAACCUUGAAAGUCAUUCUGUCCACAUCGAAACUCCAAUUUGACGUUUGUAAUUACCAUUCCUGGAGUGUUCCUUGAUUGAAAUUUAAAUAAUAAUUGCGGCCCACAAGGAAUAUUUUCGAUUCUGUGGGAAUUUGACAAGGUUUGUUAGAGAAGACUGGUGACAUGUUGACUUCAAUGGUUCAAAUAGGAGACGUAUGUGGAUUUGGGGGGUUUAAUUGAAACUGAGUCCCUAUGGCUUUUUAAUAUUUGCAUUGAGCAGUCUCCAUGUGACUUCCUAAUUCCCACCAACCCUCCUGUCCAUGCUGUGAAACUAAAUUGUAAUUUAUCAGCCUUUGUCAAUGGUUUCUAAAUUAAAGAUAUAGACCAUGCAUGUACUUUAAUAAAAGCAAAUCUAAAGUGUAGAUAGCAGCAAUGGUGACACCCAAUAUUCUCCAUAAAAUAGAAUUAGAAUAAGCAGUGUUACAUUGUUCAUGAUCACCUACAAGCAUACAAGAACUUCCAUGAAUAACUCAUAGCAAUUGCCAACAGGGCGUCGUAGAGACUCAUACAUAGAACACUAUCCACCCAGAGGAAAGGACAAGACCAGUGCGCUGCAGCUCUUAUUUUUCACAUGUAUACCACCACUCGUAAUAACCAAAUUCACUCAGUUGGGAUAGGUGGGAGAUGGUGGUUUGUGGGGUGGCUUGUGGGGAGGAGUUGGAGGAGGCUUUAUUUUCUGAGGCGGCUUGUAUGAGUGUGCAGGAGGAUGCCCGGGAGUGUGACCAUAAUGUGGUGGCUUCUCUCCCGUAGGUGGUUUGCCAAAUGGGCUUGGUGGCUUCUCUCCCUUAGGAGGUUUACCAAUUGGGGUUGGUGGCUUGUGUUCUGGGAGUGGUUUCUCUCCCUUGGUAGGUUUGCCAAUUGGGGUUGGCGGCUUAUGUUCUGGGAGUGGCUUCUCUCCCUUGGGAGGUUUGCUAAUUGGGGUUGGCGGCUUAUGUUCUGGGGGCGGCUUCUCUCCCUUGGGAGGUUUGCCAAUUGGAGUUGGCGGCUUAUGUUCUGGGAGUGGCUUUUCUCCCUUGGGAGGCUUGCCAAUUGGGGUUGGCGGCUUAUGUUCUGGGGGUGGCUUCUCUCCUUUAGGAGGUUUGCCAAUUGGAGUCGGCGGCUUAUGUUCUGGAAGUGGCUUUUUUCCCUUGGGAGGUUUGCCAAUUGGGGUUGGCGGCUUAUGUUCUGGGGGUGGCUUCUCUCCCUUGGGAGGUUUGCCAAUUGGAGUCGGCGGCUUAUGUUCUGGGAGUGGCUUCUCUCCCUUGGGAGGUUUUGUUGGUGGCUUGUGUUCUGGAGAUGGCUUCUCCCCUGGAGGCUUGUGCUCCGGAGGUGGCUUCUGAAAUGGCGGGGGCUUGGGGUAAUGAGCAAGAGAUGGAGUACUGGUGAGAACCACCAUUCCAAGCAACAAUACUAGCAAGCAUGUGGGAGACAUCUUUGAGUAGUUGUAGCUAAGAUGGCGCAACACUGUAGGCAUUGGGUGGCCUUUUAUAAAGGGCUGGACCCAACAGCCAUAUGACACGUGUCAUGAUGACAAAUGAAGUUGAGGGGAUCCAGAUGGGUCCUACUGAGUCGAAAACUUGCACUAAUUGAUCUGGUGAGAUGACUAUUUCUGUCCUUUUGCCCUUCUCGGCCACCCUGUGCUGUUUUCCUUUUGCACGAUUUUCGUUGCCAAACAAGCAAAUAAUAUUUCGCCAAGAAAGAGGAGAGUGAAUGUGGAAUGCAUCAAGUCCCAUCAAGGAUGGCAGAGAAGAAAUAGAAGAUUGCCCAACUGUGAUAAACAUAGCAUACACGUAGCACCAGGAACUUCAUUUACUUCCAUCUAAUGGAACAUAACAAUCUUCUAAAGUUUUUGCAUGAUUUUGUUAUAUGUCUCUUAGCCUAAAGUUGGAAAUGCGCAACAAAUUUUGUCACUUCUCUAUUUCCCACUGAUGAUGUUAAUUAGCCUUCAUAGAUAUCAUCCUUUCUACAAAGUGCUUCAUUUGUGUGUUAUUGUAAAGUGUAAGAAAAGUAAUUGAACAUGUUCUUUUUCCUUUCAUAGAUGACUUUUGAUGUGCAUUUUAAAAGCAGCGCUGUGAGUCGGUGACCUUGAUUCACACGGAAACUAAGGCUCCUAUAGGACCCACUUUUAGCUGGUUAGGGGUGAAGAAAAUAUCAACUUUUCAGAGUGAUUUAAGUCAAGGCCAAGCCUCACUGUGUCAUUACUCGUGUGAAUUUUAUAUGCACAUACAUACAUAAAUAAAGUAUGAGACCCAAAUAACACCUUCCCUUUACAAACUUAACCCCAGCCGCUCUCUUUCAAUUCUUUUCACACAAGGGUAUUGACUCUAUAAAGGUCAAGAAAAUCAUAAUUUCCUAGGGUUUACAAGGUAAUUGGCUUAAUGCUAAUGUGAAAACAUAAAAGAUAAUAGUAUAUUGUAAGCUAACGAAUAUUCUAUAGUUAUAAUUAUUUGUGAUGUGCAUAAAUAAAUCUUCAUAUAUAUAAUGGAACAAUGAAUAAAGAACCAAUGAAAAAAUACUAUAUAUCAUUGCUUGGCAUUUAAACCGUAUAUGCUGCUCUUUCUAGCUACUCCAUCCACUGAAAGACAACAAGGUAAUCCAUGUUAUAAUGAUAGAAGAUACUGUCUCUAGGCUUUUUGUGAUGAAAAAUAUAAGAUAUGGGUAGGGUUGACCCUUGUAUGUUUGUCCUAUAAACACUUCAAAGUAACAUAUUUUUCUUCUUUAGCAACUCAUAAUGAUGGGGUUCAUUUGCAUGUCACUGAGUUGAAAAGUUGGACAAUUGCCCAUGUCGCCUUCCUCCUAGAUUCCGUAGUUCACGGGAAGGUAACUCAAGUUUGACAUAUUUUGAAUUCUUUUCACUCGGACGUCUUCAUAACCUGACAAAACAAAAAUGAAAAACAGAGGAUUGGUAUAUUAUUCAUGGUAAGCCUCAAAUUAUAGUAGUAUGAGAAAGGAGAAAAAGAUUUUGGGAACUCCAAUCUGGAUAAUUCUCGUUUCUUCUCUUGAAUAAAAAUUUCACUUACCUAACUUCGUUUGGAGAAAUGGCAUAUUUUAAUUUUGUACGUCAUUGCUAAUAAAUGGAGCAAUUUAGCAUGUUUUGUGACUGAAACUGCAAAUGUCCAAUUGGCAUUUCUUCAUUUCCCACUUAGGAUCUGAUCUUGUAGACCAUAUAACGAUAUGUAUCUGUGCAAGCAUUGAAAACUAAUGUGAACUAUGAGGAGUUACAAGCCACUGGACUGUAGAGCGAGUGCCAAGAUUUAAAUCUUCAGGCUCUAUCUGGGUAAGGGGAGGAUAGCGACCUAACCUUUUACCAAAGGCUUAGAAUUUAGACUUUUGGAAAAAAAUUUCUCAUGUUUUGGCUGGAUUUCUUGUGCUUGGCGCAAAAAGGAGAUGGCCUCAAGAAAUAGCAGACUCACUUUUGUUUUCAGCCCUUAAUAAUUCUCCACUGCUUUCCAUAACUACAUGGGUUAUACAUGCAGUCUGCUGCAAUAUUCCAGUUAUAUUUAUUAUUUCAAAGAGGGUGAAUGACUUCACAUGCAAUAUGUUGCAGUAACAACCCAAAUUUUGGCACACCAUCUUAAGAAUAGAAAAGUAUAAUAAAAGAAAUCAAUCAGAGAAUCACUUUGCAUGCAGUUCAUAGAGUUCGCCCAAAAUGGAGCCACAUGUACGGACAACCCCACAAUAGACAAUCUUCUCUAUACAGUAAUAAAAUACAGAAAUGGUUAAUGAAGCUCUGUAUUUCCUUAUCAUAUAUGACCGGUUGAAAACUCAGCAAGUCUUCCUCAAUCACAGACAGUUGGAGUUGCUUCAUCAAAAUCAUGCCUUCAUUACUGGCUUCAUUUUGGUUUCAAUGUCUGUUCUACCCUUAAAUUGGGUCUCUGCUUACUACCGGGAUAUCCUUUAGCGUCCUGCAAUUCUACUAGAUUAAAGAGAAUGACUUAAUUCUGCAUUCUGCCGUCCCUAGUCCAAGUGGUACUAGAAUUGAUGUUUCCUUUAGUGUCCUUUCUUCAUACUUUCAGGUUCUUCCCUUGUUUCAAUAAUGCUGUUUUCCUUCAUGUUUAACCUCUGUUGAACCACUUAAAACAACACAAUUUGCACACCAAUGUUUCUUUACAGAAAAGACUGUUUGCAAAAAUGCACAUGUUAUAAGGUUAAUGGAAGAAUUAAUUUGGGGAUAAGGGACUAGGAUUGGGCCAAUGAAGUUUGGUGUUAAAUUUUGAUUAUGAUUGCUUUUCAUUAUCAGGUACCUUAUAUUUGCUGAUGCUAUCUGGAACUAAAUUCAAAUCAGACAUUAUCCGAUUACUAACAGGACAUAUCAUGUCCCUCUGCAGAGUUUCUAAACUAACAUGUAUCGAAAUGUGGCCCCAAAAGGAAGGCUAGGAAGAUGGAGGAUUUUGUAGGAAUCGACCAGAAUCAGAUGGAAGAGAGAUAGUCCUGUUGACUUUAAUGGUUGUGAUAGGAACAUGCAUCAUUAUAUGAGAAGUUGCAUGAAUUUAUGUAUCCUGUUAUCGUUCCUUGACGAUUUCCCAAUGCAAUUUCACUGUCCACAAGACUAACCUCUCCAUGCAGUCAAAUGAAUUGUAAUUUCUCUAUUGGUACCAGUAGUACAUUUCAUACCAAACAUAUAGUAAAUAUAAAAUAUAAAUAGAUCAAGGAAAUCUGAAUUGUAGAUAGCACUGCAAGUAACACUCAAUAUUCUCUAUAUAUAAUAAAAUAAACAGUGUCACAAUACUCAUCACCCAGUGGCAAGGGAGAAAAACCUACAAUGAGUACUCAAAUCACCAUUCUCAAACAGAAACAUAGCAGUGACUGAUACAUAGAACCUAUAUGCUCACAGGGAAAGAAUAAGAUGACCAGUGCACAGCGGGCAGCAGCUCUUAUUUUACGUACAACUCAAAUCCCAAACUAACCAAAGUCGCUCAGUUGGGAUGGGUGGGAGAUGGUGGUUUGUGGGAUGGCUUCUGGGUAGGAGCUGGUGGCUUCUGUCCCUUUGGUGGUUUGCCUAAUGAGCUUGGUGGCUUGUGCUCCGGGAGUUGUUUCUCUCCCUCGAGUAGGUUUCGAGUCUUGUCAGAUGGCUUGUGUUCUGGUGGUGGCUUCUCUCCCUGGGGUGGUUUGCCGAAUGGGCUUGGUGGCUUGUGUUCGGGGAGUGGCUUCUCUCCCUGGAGAAGGUUACGAGUUUUGUCAUAUGGCUUUUGUUCUGGUGGUGGCUUCUCUCCCUGGGGUGGUUUGCCGAAUGGGCUUGGUGGCUUGUGUUCGGGGAGUGGCUUCUCUCCCUGGAGAAGGUUACGAGUUUUGUCAGAUGGCUUGUGUUCUGGUGGUGGCUUCUCUCCCUGGGGUGGUUUGCCGAAUGGGCUUGGUGGCUUGUGUUCGGGGAGUGGCUUCUCUCCCUGGAGAAGGUUACGAGUUUUGUCAGAUGGCUUUUGUUCUGGUGGCGGCUUCUCUCCCUGGGGUGGUUUGCCAAAUGGGCUUGGUGGCUUGUGUUCGGGAACUGGCUUCUCUCCCUUGGGAGGUUCAGUUGGUGGCUGCUGUUCCGUAGGUGGUUUCUUCACCGGCGGCUUGUGCUCCGGAAGCGGCUUCUCUACCUGGAGAAGCUUACGAGUUUUGUCCGAUGGCUUGUGUUGUGGUGGUGGCUUCUCUCCCUGGGGUGGUUUGCCAAAUGGAGUUGGUGGCUUGUGUUCGGGGAGUGGCUUCUCUCCAUUGGGAGGUUUAGUUGGUGAUUGGUGUUCCGUAGGUGGUUUCUGAAGUGGGGGAUGCUUGGGGUAGUCAGCAAGAGACGAGGUAGUGAGAACCACCAGUCCCAGCAGCAACACUAGCAAGCAUGUGGAAGACAUCUUUGAGUUCAGGCUGAGAUCUGUGCAAGGAUAACAGAAUUAGGUGGCCUUUUAUAGAGGCCUGGACCCAACACCCAUAUGACACGUGUCAUGCACUCAUGGUGACACAUAAUUCUAUGGGACCAUUUGGGUCCUACAGAAGUUGCAAAGUUGGACUACUGAGGUGUGAUCACAACUUUUGUCCUUAUUGCUUUCUCUGCGGCCAUUGCACGAUUUCCUUUAGCAUCAUUUUCUUGGCUAAAUAAGCGUAUUAUAUUUGUGGCAGACCGUCCACGUGUCAUAAACAGAUAUAUUAUAAUAAUGUAGUAUGCUUUUCUCCAAUGGAACAUGACACUCUUCUAAGUCUUGUUUUAAAUAUUGUGCAGGAUUACUUUAUACGUUGCAGUUCCAAGUCAAAAUUGGUGGGCAAACGUUGGCCUUUUUUCAUUUCACCUAAGAUUAAUGCUCACCUGGGAUAGGCACUACAUGACUUAUCUGCUCUUUUACUGUAAAGUUGCUUUGUGUAUGAGAUACACCUCCCCUGCACACCCUCAACAUUCGUUGCUCUGUUUUCCUUGUGUCCAGACGAGGAUAUUAAUUGGAGGCUGACAAAACGACUGCUAGCCCAGGAUUUACAAGGUCCUGGUUUGAGGCUUCGGUGAAAGUAUUUUUGAAAAGACACACAUAGAGAUAGUGCGUUUGGUGCAAUGCAGCACUGUGAGCCAUUCUGACGCGUUCUUAAUUUCAAAACUAAUGAAUGCUUCAAAAUUUUAAGAAGUGACAUUUCCAAAUAUUUGAGUUCGUUUAAUUGAACAUUGGAUAACUAGUGAUCAUAGAUUAUUAUCUGUGCUUGGCACUAUAAGAGGGUAUAUGCUUCUUUUUCUGGCCCCUCCUUCAAGGGAGGAGGGACAAUGUGAUCUGUAACGUUAGAAGCUAUUCCAUGUCAUCUUUGGGCUCAGUUCAAAACUAAAAGAUAAUGGGGGGGGGGGGGGGGGGCAUAUCAUUUUAUAUUUCUUCUAGAAGGUUUGUUCUGGAAAUAUUUCACAGGAGCAUAUCUUUUUCUUCUAUUACGUCAUCCGCAGCCUCCAAUAGGUCGGUUAACAAGCCACCGAGUUGAAAAGUUGGAAAAAUGGGAACACAGCCCGCCUCUUGUAUUCAGUAGUUAAAUAAAAGGUCACUAGAAGUGAGAUCCCUUUUGGCGUCUUGAUUUUCAAUCCAGCACCUCUGUGACCUGACAAACCAAAAAAACUAAAAAAUAAAAAACAGUACGUGGGUUGGUGUUAAGCAUCAAGACAUGUUAAUGAAAGAAGGUAGAGAAUAGGAUAUUGAAAUCCCAAUCCUGAUAACAUGAUUUUCUUUGCUAACAACCAUAUUAUAUUUUAUCAAGAAAGAGUAAUGCAUGUGGCGUCCAUCAAGACCCAUUAGAGUUCCGCUAAAGCUAUAGUUCUGUCAACGUUAUCAUUUACGUUUCCUCUAGAUAAUGGCAUUUUCCUCUAAAGCUCUUGCACCAUUAGGCUUCAAGUCAAAAUUUCACAUGUGAACUUUGGAAAUUUUCUCCAUUUGCCCCUAAGGAUACAGUUAGAAUUGACUUAAAAUCCUGAUUGAUAUGUACUAUUAACCAAAGAAUAUUGUAUAUAAUAAUUGAAAUAUUGUUGAUUCAUCGUGGAAAUACAUUUUGUAAGGAAAGUUGUUGAGAAUUUAGUAUGCUAUAUGGAGAAAAAAGUCAUGACUUAAGGUUGUGUAUGUAUAUUCUAUAUCAAAUAUUAGGUAGGAAUGUGGGAAAGAGCAGAGUGUAAUGAUAAGAAACAAAGAAAUAUAAGAUAUUCUUGAAAGUGGAAAAUAUAAAAUGGCUAACGAGUCAAAUUUAUGAUGCGUAAGGGGGAUCAUGUCACAUAAGAAAACCAUGGCAUACUAAAGACGUACGUGUGGUAUGGAGUAAUAAUUUUGUUAAAAUAAGUUUCUUGUUGGAGUACAUUAGGUGACUAUUCAUAACGUAUCAAAUUAAAGAGUCAAGUGCAUCAAUGAAGGCAUAUGUAGAAAAUUUGUUUGUGACAUGUACCAUAAAGAUAAGAUUGACUUGAUAGAAUUUAGUCUAAGUAGGAGUUGUUAAAGGUGUCUUAAAUUUCUAAUUGAUGUAUAUUUUUUUCUAAAAAAAUAUUAUAUAGAUAUUUUAAUAAAUGAUUAAUUCUUUGUAAAAAUACUUACAUAAUAAAAAACAUCAUUAAAAAUAUCUUUAUAAAUAUUUUAAGUUACAAGAAGGAAAAAAACCACUGUGAGAUAAUGAUGAACAUGCAACACUGUACCAAGUAAAUAAAAAUGUGAUAAAAAAAAAAGAGAAACACUCGAUAAAGGAAGGCUCGUAUAUAAAGAGUAAUAUUUUUAAUCAUAUGAUAGAAUGAUUUUCUCUCAUUCAUGAAUAUAGGCAAGAUUGGGGAACCAUUAUAAAAUUUUGUACACCUCGUGUAAAUUGAUGUUUGUCUUCAUAUUUUACACCAACAAAUGACAUUGAAGUUGUCAUUGAUAAAAGGGAAAAGGCAUGCCUCCACACCAUGUGCUUGAUUCGAAUGGUUCAAGUUUGAAGAAUUUUCUCCGGAAGAUCUAAAACAUUUUCGCCUUUAAAUUUCAUUUGAUUAUUAAUAUCCGAAAAAAUAGUUAAAUACUCUUUCUAUUUUUGAGUUGUUGAAUUUUUUGAAAGUUUUUAUAUUUGUUAUCAAGAAUUUCUAUUUUAUUAAGGGUGAAUAUUUAUAAAUAAGAUAUUAUAUAAUAUUUGGAUAAGAGAGAAUGGUGGAAUAUAAUAAAGUUUUAAUCCUUCCCAAUUUUGAACCUUUUUUUUUUUUUUUGAUAUAAUCGCCUUUCUCUUGCAAUCCUAUUAUCAGGUACCUUAUAUUUGCUGAUGCUAUCUGGAACUAAAUUCCAAUCAGGCAUUGUCCAAUUACUAAUAGGACAGAUCAUAUCUCUCUGUUUCUAAACUAACAUGUAUCGUAAUGUGACCUCAUAAGGAAGGCUAGGAAGAUGGAGGAUUUUGUGGGAAGCGACCAGAAUCAGAUGGAAGAGAGAUAGCCCUGUUGACCUAAUGGCUGUAAUAGGAGAAGCGUGUGGUUUUAUGGGACUUAACUGAUACUAAACCUGUAUGAUGCUUGGAGUGGUGUUUCUUUCAUUUUGUUAAGAAAAUAUGGCAGCAUACAUGCUUUCAACUGAGUGCAUCAGAGCAUCCAUAACAGAUGGUCUGCAACCCUAGGUGCAUGCCACUUUCUGACUGAUAAUGAAAUUGUCAGGUACCUGGCCUUGACUAAGCUCAACAGCAUCACAUAAAGAGAAGCUUUCAUACUUAGAUUACUGUUUAAAGUUUUUGCUUAUUUGAUUUCUUAAUGCCAUUAUGACAUUAUUGAUUCAAUUCUGCUUCCGAUUUUCGAAGUUCUGGGCAUCUACUGAUUGCAUCAUUAUAUGAGAAGUUGCAUGAGUUUAUGUAUCCUGUUAUUGUUCCUUUGCGAUUUCACUGCUCACGGGACUAACCUCUCCAUUCAGUCGAAAUGAAUUGUAAUUUCUUUACUGGUAGCAGUAGUACUUUUCAUAGCAAAGAUAAUAGAAAAUAUGAAAUAUAAAUAGAAGGAAAUCUGGAUUGUAGAUAGCACCAUAAGUAACACUCAAUAUUCACUACAUAAUAAAUAGACAGUGUUACAUAGGUAGAGAAACCUACAAUGAGUACUCAUCACCAUUCUCAAACAGAAACAUAGCAGCGACUUAUACAUAGAACCUAUAGGCUCGCAGGGAAAGAGUAACAUGAUAAGUUCACAGCGGGUAGCAGCUCUUAUUUUACGUAUUACUCAAAAUCUCAAACUAACCAAAGUCACUCAGUUGGGAUGGGUAGGAGAUGGUGGUUUGUGGGGUGGCUUCUGGGUAGGAGCUGGUGGCUUCUUUGUUGGAGUUGAAGGAGGCAUAUUCUUCUGAGGUGGCUUGUAUGACUCUUCGGCACUCUCUGCAGGAGGGUGCCCAGGGUUGUGACCAGAAGGAGGUGGCUUCUGUCCCUUUGGUGGUUUGCCUAAUGGGCUUGGUGGCUUGUGCUCCGGGAGUUGUUUCUCUCCCUCGAGUAGGUUUCGAGUUUUGUCAGAUGGCUUGUGUUCUGGUGGUGGCUUCUCUCCCUGGGGUGGUUUGCCGAAUGGGCUUGGUGGCUUGUGUUCGGGGAGUGGCUUCUCUCCCUGGAGAAGGUUACGAGUUUUGUCAGAUGGCUUUUGUUCUGGUGGCGGCUUCUCUCCCUGGGGUGGUUUGCCAAAUGGGCUUGGUGGCUUGUGUUCGGGAACUGGCUUCUCUCCCUUGGGAGGUUCAUUUGGUGGCUGGUGUUCCGUAGGUGGUUCCUUCACCGGCGGCUUGUGCUCCGGAAGCGGCUUCUCUACCUGGAGAAGCUUACGAGUUUUGUCAGAUGGCUUGUGUUGUGGUGGUGGCUUCUCUCCCGGGGGUGGUUUGCCAAAUGGACUUGGUGGCUUGUGUUCGGGGAGUGGCUUCUCUCCAUGGGGAGGUUUAGUUGGUGGUUGGUGUUGCGUAGGUGGUUUCUGAAGUGGGGGAUGCUUGGGGUAGUCAGCAAUAGACGAGGUAGUGAGAACCACCAGUCCCAACAGCAACACUAGCAAGGAUGUUGAAGACAUCUUUGAGUUCAGGCUGAGAUCUGUGCAAGGAUAAAAGAUUUAGGUGGCCUUUUAUAGAGGGCUGGACCCAACACCCAUAUGACACGUGUCAUGCACUCAUGGUGACACAUAAUUCUAUGGGACCAUUUGGGUCCUACAGAAGUUGCAAAGUUGGACUAUUGAGGUGUGAUCACAACUUUUGUCCUACUUGCUUUCUCUGCGGCCAUUGCACGAUUUCCUUUAGCAUCAUUUUCUUGUCUAAAUAAGCGUAUUAUAUUUGUGGCAGACCGUCCACGUGUCAUAAACAGAUAUAUUAUAAUAAUGUAGUAUGCUUUUCUUCAACGGAACUUGACACUCUUCUAAGUCUUGUUUUAAAUACUGUGCAGGAUUACGUCAUAAGUUGCUUGUUCCAAGUCAAAAUUGGUGGGCAAACGUUGGCCUUUUUUCAUUUUCCCUAAUAUUAAUGCUCACCUGGGAUAGGCACUACAUGAUUUAUCUGCUCUUUUACUGUGAAGUUGCUUUGUGCAUGAGUUACACCUCCCCUGCACACCCUCAACAUUUGUUGCUCUGUUUUUCUUGUGUCCAGACGAGGAUAUUAAUUGGAGGCUGACAAAACGACUGCUAGCCAAGGAUUUACAAGGUCCUGGUUUGAGGCUUUCACGAAAGUAUUUUUGAAAAGAUACACAUAGAGAUUGCGCGUUCGGUGCAAUGCAACAAUGUGAGCCAUUCUGAAGUCUUAAAUUUCAGAUUAAUGAAUGCUACAAAAUUCUAAGAAGGGCCGUUUCCAAAUAUUUGAGUUCAUUCAUCCGAACAUCGGGUAUAUGCUUCUUUCUCUAGCCCCUCCUUGAAGGGAGGAGGGACAAUGUGAUCUGUAUCGUUAGAAGCUAUUCCAUGUCGUCAUCUUUGGGCUCAGUUCAAUACUAAAAGAUAUGGGCGGGGCCCUUAUCAUUUUAUAUUUCUUCUAGAAGGUUUAUUCUGGAAAUCUUUCACAGAAACAUAUCUUUUUCUUCUCUACGUGAUCCGUGGUUUGAAAGUUGGAAAAAUGGGUCCGUUAACAAGCCACCGAGUUGAAAAGUUGGAAAAAUGGCAACACCGCCAACCUCUUGUAUUCGAUAGUUAAAUAAAAGGUCACUGGAAGUGAGAUCCCUUUUGGCCUCUUGAUUUUCAUUCCAGCAUCUCUAUGGCCUGAUAAAUUAAAAAACUAAAAAAAAAGACAGUACGUGGGUUGGUGUUAAGCAUCAAGAGUCAAGACAUGAUAAUGGAGAGAAAGGAUAUUCAAAUUCCAGUUCUGACAACAUGAUUUUCUUUGCUGAACUACCAUAUUAUAUUUGAUCAAGAAAGAGUAGUGCAUGUGGCCAGGAUCAAGACAUACAUUAAUUUCCACAUGAUGAAGACAGUUUCUGAGAGUUUCUUCUAAAGCUCUUGCGCGAGUAGGCUUCAAGUCAAAAUCUCCCAUGUAAACACUGGUUUUUCUUUCAUUGCCACUAAGGAUGCAGUUAAUAUUGACUUAAGAUCCUACGUGAUAUAUUUUUUUAAAAGAGCUAUAUUGUAGAUAAUAUUUGAAAUAAUGUUGAUUCGUUGUGGAAAUAUAUUUGUAAGGAAAGUUGUUGACAAUUUAAUAUAGUAUAAGAAGAAAAAAGUUAUCAACUAGCUAGAGAUGAGUAUGUAAAGUGAGGCUCACGAUUCAACGCGUAAAUAUAAGAUAUUUUAAGGCUCAAUAGUUAUGAUAUCUAUUUUAUUUUUUGUAUCUCAUAUAUUCAAAGAUAUAGUAAAAUGAUUUUACAUAUAUAUAUAUAUAUAUAUAUGAACAUAACUAUUUGUGCCAAUUGAUUUUUAUCUUUAUUUUGUAUAUUAGUAAUUAUAUUAAAGUUUUUACUAAUAUAAUAACUAAUAUAAAAGCUUUUUCUAAAAGAGUCAACAGAGCAAAACACUUAUUAUAAAAAAUAAUUUUGAUUGAAGGUGGAGUCAAUUAUUCUUUAUUUAACAUGUAAUGCAUACGGCGUGUACUUCAUAACUAAAGUAUAUAAGUGUAACAUCUCUUAUAUAUUCUCAUUCAAUCUCGAAAGUGGAAAUUUUAAAAAGAUUAAACGGUUCAAAUUUGUCGUGCAUAAAGGGGAUCAUGUCACAUAAGCAAACCAUGGCAUACCAAAGACAUAGGUAUGGACUAAGAAUUUUUUUCAAAUAAGUUUCUUAUUAGGGUACAUUAAUAGGUGACUUUUUAUGACAUAUCAAAGGAGUCAAGUGCACCAAUAAAAACAUAUAUAGAAAAUUCAUGCAUGACAUGUAUCACUAAGAGAAGAUUGACUUGAUAGAGUUUAAUCCAAAUAGGAGAUUGUUAAAAGGUGUCUCAAAUUCUUGAUUGAUAUAUAUUUUUUUUAUUAAAAAGGUUAUUAUAUAGAUAUUUCAAUAGACUAUUAAUUCUUUGUAAAAAUAGUUAUAUAAUGAGGAUGGUGAUUAAAAAUAUCUCUAUCAAUAUUUUGGAUUAUAAAAAGAAAAAAAAUGAGAUAAUGAUAAACAUAUAAAACUUGUACAAGUAGAUAAAGAUGUGAUGAAAGACACUUGAUGAAUGAAGGCUUUGUAUUUCAAGAUAUAAAUAUAUGGAGCAAAACUCUUAAUUAUAUGAUCAAAUGAUUCUCUCAUAUUCAUGAAUAUAAGCAGGAUUGGGGAACCAUGAUAGAAUCUUAUAUGCCUCUCCAUGUAGAGUGAUCGAUGUUUAUCUUCAUAUUUUACACCAGUGAAUGACAUUGAAACUCUUAUUGAUAAAAGGGAAAAGGCAUGGCCUCCACCCCAAGAAAAACAAGUAACCUCGGUUUAAAUCACUAGUCUACACCCCGAAGAGAGAACUAGCCAAACCUACUAAAAGAGAAACUUAACAAUUUAGAAAGAAACCGUCCAUGAUAAAGGGCCCCUAAAGGUCCAAUUCAGUGAGGUCGUGAACAAAAACACUUUCAUGUCAAAACAGAGAUAGGUACCACCAAAAUGUAAAGGGAAAGAUGUAAACCACGUCGAACUUUGGUAAUCAAUGGUAAAGAUAGCAUGAUAGCUAAAAGCACUAAAGCUGUGCUUGGUAUGCAAAAAUGAAAAGUGGAAAUCAGCGUCUUAUUCUUUUUCACCUUUAUUCACAUAUUAGGAUAACUAAUAUCUAAUGUUUUUUAUGUCUCAAAUUCUAUUCCAUGUUAUGGUAAACUUUCAUCUUGUUUAGAUCACUUUUGUCUGGUUUGGGCUCAAGACGAUAAGCCUAUAGAGACUUCAUAUUGGGUUGAAUCGAUGCCCUUGAUCUGAUCUGUUCGUUAGAAAAAUCUGAAUUAUUAUAAGCAUUUAGAUAAAAAAUAAAUAAAUGUGAAACACAAACUACUCCCUGCACAACCUUGACCCUAGUUACUCAGUUUCACUGCUCACAGGACUAACCUCUCCAUUCAGUCGAAAUGAAUUGUAACAAGAAGAUUUUUGACAGGAGGACGGUAGUUUAAAAUAAUAAUUUCUAAAGUACUUUUGUGAAAAAAAAUAAUUCCAAACGUGGAUUUUAUCAAGUAAAAAGAAAAAAAAAAGUUAUUUUCUUUUAAAAUCUGUUCUUCUAAAGAUGAUAUAUAUACCAAAAAAAAAAAUUGUUUUCUGAAGGUAAAAUUUUUAAAAUUCAUUUUUAAAAAAAUUUACACACUAAAAUUAUCUUUUCAAGAGAAGAUUUUUUUAAUUUUAAAUAAUUAUUAAUUUAUAAUUAAUUUGUUAUUAAUUAUUUAUUAAUUUUUUUAUUUGAAAAAUGCAUUUAUAAAAAACAAAUUUGUUAUUAAUUUAUUAAAUAAUUUUUACAAAAUAAAUAAUUUUUUUUUAUUUUAAUUUUAAAAUUAAUUUUAUUAUAUAAAUUUUAAAAUUAAAAAUAUUAAUAUUUAAUUUAAAAUUUAACUAUAAAAGGAAUAAAAUAUAGAAAAAUAAAUUAAUUUAUUAUUCAAUAAAUUAAUUUUCAAUAAAAUUUUCAGCAUUAAGAGAUAAAUUUUUAAGUAUUAAUCAAUUUAAAAAGAAAUAAUGAUCAUUUGUAUAUUAAGAUAUUUUAUUUAGUAAUUAUGAAUGAUAAACAACUAAAGUAAUUUGAAAAAAUAAUAAAAUAUUUAAAAAAUAAUAAUUUAAUACACGUAAAAUUAGAAAUGAUUAACUAUUUUUUAUUAAGAAAAAAUUGAGGAAAUAUUUUGUUAUUUAAAAUUUUUUAUUUGUUUUCAAUUUUUAAUGUUAUAGGUUUCAAGAAAAUUGAUCAAAUAAAAAUUAAGAAGUCAUUUUUUCAAAAACUAUAUAUCUAAAUAAAAGCCUUGAAAUUCAAAUACACAAUAUCAUAAAUAUAAACACCAAGUCAAUCCUUAAUUAUCAAAUGUUUUUAAUAUUAAAGAAUCAAAAUCACCUACUAUCAUGAUAAUAAGAAAACCAAUAAUAUUGUUCAUAUAAAUACUAAAAAGCUAACAAAUAUCCCAAACAAUUAAUAAAGUAUCAAACAUGAUAAAAAGUCAAUUAUUAUCAUGAAUGCAAAAAAUCAAUAAUUUUGUUUAUAUGAACCAUCAACAAAGAAAAAAAAAAUCAAUAUCUAAAUAUUAAACAUAAUUUAUAUUUUUAUAAAUAUUAUUGUUGAUAAAUAUCUUAACAAUUAUAAUUUUAGUAAAUAAAAUUAAUUAAUUUUAGUUUAAGAAUUAUUUUUUUAUACUUUCGUAUUCUUAUCAAAAAUCCCCAUUUUGCAUGUCUCCUUUGGCAUGACUUUCUUACCUAAACAAGCAUAUAUAUAUAUAUAUAUAUAUAAAAUAUUUGGUUAAGAAAGAGUACUAAAGUUUAUAUGGCACACAUCAAGAUAGAAACAGAAGUGGAAGAUAAUCCAAAUGUAUGAACAGAUAUAUUAUAUCCAUGUAGUGGUAGUGACUUCAUUAUUUACUUUUAUCUAAUGGAGCAUGACACACUUCUUCUGAAUAUUUUGCACGAUUAUGUUAUGUGUCAGCUUGUUCUAAGUCAAAACUAGUGAUAAAAAUCGGUUUUUUUUGCAUUUCCUUCAUGAAGAUGGCACCUGGAUGGGGCACUACAUGAGUGGCAUAGCACGAAGUGAUUUAUCUGCUCCCUUUACUAUAAAGUGCUUUGUGUAUAAGUUACACCUCCCCUGCACUGCCUCAACAUUUGUUGUUCUGUCUUCCGUCUGUCCAAACGAGGACAAACGUAUGUUGUAGGUUGACAAAACCACAGCUAGCCUAGGAUUUGCAAGGAUCUAGUUUGAUUCGUAUGCAAAAGGAUUGGUGAAAAGAUUCACAAAGAUAAUGCUUUUUGCAAUGCAAUCUUGUUCUAAUUCAACAGUGUGGACCAUUUUCAUGUAAUGCUUCAACUAGAUGUCAGUUUCAUGAAUUUUUGUUCAUCUAAUUGAUCACUGGAUAGGCCAUAACCCGAAGAAAUUCAAAAUUCCCUUCAGUACUGUAGCUAAGGAAAGAUCCCUAUCUACCACUGGGAUUUUAAGAGGGUAAAAAUGUAGGUGGGUGCCUAUAUCAUUUGCACUUCACUAUAGGCCUCUUUGGGAAGAUUUCUUCUGAAGACAUUUCAAAGAAACAUAUUUUUCUCUUCUCUCCGUAAACGGCAGCUGCAAGUCAGUCCAUUCACAGGCCACCGAGUUGAAAAGGCUGGAAAAUUGGCCAAAGCACCCGCCUCCUGGAUUCCAUGGGUAAGGAAAAGGUCACUGGAGGUGUGAUCCCUGUUGGCCUCUUGAUUUCCAUUCCGCCAUCUAUAUGACCUGAUAACCCAAAAACACAGAAGGAAAACGUCACCUGGGUUCAUAGUAAGCAUCAAGUCAUGAUAGAGACCAGACAACAUGACCAACAAAGAGUAGCGAAUGGGGCCAACAUCAAGCCCCAUUACGGUUAGAAGAUGGAAGAAGUAGAAGACAAUCCAAUUCUGAUAGAUUCGGGCAAAUGUAGUGCUGUUCAAACUUAAUCAUUUACUAUUUCUUCAUGAAUCACGGCAUUUUUCUUCUGAAAAUUUUCCAAGAUUAGGCCUCUGAAGAAAAAUUUCAUAUGUAAAUUGGUAUAUUAAGGAAAAGGCGUUACAAAGGUGAAAAAAAACCAAUCAAAUCUUAUAUAUGACAUCUCAAAAAUAUGAACUUGCUAUAAAUAUUUAAAAUCAAAAUCUUGCACAUCACCUCGUAGUACGAACUUGCUAUAAAACUUGAAAAUCAAGAAGAAAGGGGCAGUAUUGGACGAGACUACUUAGCACAUAUUAUUAUGAUGUUUUUUCAUUUUCUUAAUGUUGUUUUUAUGUCUUAAAUUCUAUUAUUCUAUGUUACGGUAAACAUUCAUCUUGUUUGUGUGGAAUAGGAUCACUUUUCUCUGGGUUGAGUCGAUGCCCUUAGUUAAUUUGUUCAUUUGAAUAAACUAAAUUAUUAUAAGUAUUUAGAUAAGAAAAACGUGAUACAUAAAUUACGCCUCUCGGCACAACUUCAACACUGGUUACUCUGUUUCAGUUUCCUCACACAAGAUUAUUGGUUCUAGGGUUUAUUUGGUUUUGGUUUGAUUCUAAUUGCUAAACUUUCUCAAGGAAGAUGUUAUAUAGGGAGUGAGAAACCUUCACUCUUGGCUACCUCCAAGAGAAGAGCAAGUGGUCUGAAUCAAAGAUAUACUGCUCACUUUUUCUUCUUCUAAGGACAGCUAUGACCUUGCUUUAAGGUUCGAAUAGCCUAAUGCAACCUCCCAUUUCUCAAGUCAGCUGAUGAUGUAAGUCACCUUGGCUUUCCACAUUCAUACGGUGAGGACGUUUGUGGGUGUAAUUCUCUUAACAGUUUUCAUUUUAUAUGGAAAAAUUCAUAAUUAAGGGUAAUUACUGAUUCCAUUUGACAGUGACCAAGUUUAAAAUAUUAAUUCAUAUAUUAAAUGCACAUUAAAAAAUCAUGGAAUAAAUAUAUUUACUAAUAUAUAGUUCUUUUGCCAUGUUCUGUCACAGAAGCAUCGAACUUUCCCUAGAAAUUUUUGCAUGGUAUUCUACUUAUGAUUUUGAAAACUCUAGGCACCUGAGGCCACUAAUUGCAUGGUUGGAUGAGGAGCUGCAUGAGAUUAUGUAUCGUGUUGUUCCUUAACUACAAAUAUCAGUUUUAAGUAGCAUCUCCAUGUGACAUUUUCCUGAUGCAAUUUCGCUGUCCACCAACAAAUUUCACCAUGCAGCAAGAUGAAUUGUAAUUUCUUUAUUGUUAUCAACAGCUUUAAUUAAUCUUGAUAUAUAUAUAUAACUUAGUAGAAGUAUAUUAAUCUAGAUUGUAGUUGCACUAAGAUAAUAGGCAAUAUUAUAACAGUGCCACAAUGCUCAUCGCCAAAUAGAAAGGUAGAAAAACUACAAUGAGUAACUCACAACAUUCUCAAACAGGACAUAGCGGCGACUGAUACAUAGAACACUAUUGGCACUCAGGAAAUGAUAAGAUCAGUGCCCAGCAGGCAGCACGUCUUAUUUUACAUACUACUUAAAACUAACCAAAGUCAUUCAGUUGGGAUGGGUGGGAGAUGGUGGUUUGUGCGGUGGCUUUUGGGUAGUUGGUGGCUUCUUUCCUGGAACUGAUGGUUUUUUUGUUGGAGUUGAAGGAGGCUUAAUCGUCUGAGGUGGCUUGUAUGAGUCUUCAGCACUCUCUGCGGGAGGGUGCCCAGGGUUGUGACCAUAAUGGGGUGGCUUCUCUCCCUUAGUUGGUUUGCCAAGUGGGCUGGCUGGCUUGUGCUCCGGGAGCGGCUUCUCUCCCUUAGGUGGUUUGCCAAAUGGGCUUGCUGGCUUGUGCUCUGGGAGCGGCUUCUCUCCCUCAAGAAGUUUACGGGUUUUGUCAGAUGGCUUGUGUUCUGGUGGUGGCUUCUCUCCU
rnacentral:lncRNA from 1 species